rnacentral:rRNA from 1 species
GAUGAACGCUGGCGGCGUGCCUAAUACAUGCAAGUCGAGCGAACAGACGAGGAGCUUGCUCCUCUGACGUUAGCGGCGGACGGGUGAGUAACACGUGGAUGACCUACCUAUAAGACUGGGAUAACUUCGGGAAACCGGAGCUAAUACCGGAUAAUAUAUUGAACCGCAUGGUUCAAUAGUGAAAGACGGUUUUGCUGUCACUUAUAGAUGGAUCCGCGCCGCAUUAGCUAGUUGGUAAGGUAACGGCUUACCAAGGCAACGAUGCGUAGCCGACCUGAGAGGGCGAUCGGCCACACUGGAACUGAGACACGGUCCAGACUCCUACGGGAGGCAGCAGUAGGGAAUCUUCCGCAAUGGGCGAAAGCCUGACGGAGCAACGCCGCGUGAGUGAUGAAGGUCUUCGGAUCGUAAAACUCUGUUAUUAGGGAAGAACAAAUGUGUAAGUAACUAUGCACGUCUUGACGGUACCUAAUCAGAAAGCCACGGCUAACUACGUG